CCAGCGAACUUGGCAGAGAUGCCUUGGUGCCUUCGGGAACGCUGAGACAGGUGCUGCAUGGCUGUCGUCAGCUCGUGUUGUGAAAUGUUGGGUUAAGUCCCGCAACGAGCGCAACCCUUAUCCUUUGUUGCCAGCGAUUCGGUCGGGAACUCAAAGGAGACUGCCGGUGAUAAACCGGAGGAAGGUGGGGAUGACGUCAAGUCAUCAUGGCCCUUACGAGUAGGGCUACACACGUGCUACAAUGGCGCAUACAGAGAGAAGCGACCUCGCGAGAGCAAGCGGACCUCAUAAAGUGCGUCGUAGUCCGGAUCGGAGUCUGCAACUCGACUCCGUGAAGUCGGAAUCGCUAGUAAUCGUGGAUCAGAAUGCCACGGUGAAUACGUUCCCGGGCCUUGUACACACCGCCCGUCACACCAUGGGAGUGGGUUGCAAAAGAAGUAGGUAGCUUAACCUUCGGGAGGGCGCUUACCACUUUGUGAUUCAUGACUGGGGUGAAGUCGUAACAAGGUAAGCGUAGCGAG
rnacentral:rRNA from 1 species